rnacentral:rRNA from 1 species
AUGGAAAUUGUCCAUACAUACGGGAAGCCUGACAUCUUCUUGACCAUGACUUGCAACCCUAAAUGGGAAGAGAUAACAAAUGAGUUGCUUCCUGGACAGACGGCGCAAGACCGACCAGAUAUUGUGGCUCGCGUGUUCUAUGGCAAACUAGAGGCUAUGAAAUAUUUGUUGCUCAAGAAGAUGGUCCUGGGUGUUGUUGUUGCUUAUGUUUACGUAGUCGAGUUCCAGAAGAGAGGCCUCCCCCACGCACAUUUUUUGUUGAUCGUGGAUUCAAAUUAUAAGCUUCUUGUCCCAGAGCAGUAUGACCGACUCAUUUCCGCAGAGCUCCCAGACAAGCAGAAGUAUCCGGAAUUGUAUGCAAUGGUGGUAAAACAUAUGAUGCACGGACCAUGCGGUGCUCUCAACCCGAAGAAUGUUUGCAUGCAAGAUAAUGAAUGA